GGACUGGUAGCUCAGUUGGAAGAGCAUCACUGUACUACACUGGAAGCCAUGUGUUCAAUCCCUGUGUAGUCCA